rnacentral:misc_RNA from 1 species
GUACGAGAGUAGAAUAUAGUGGUGGUACUUUUCGAAUUUAUUUCCUGCAUGGUGUUUCUUCUUUCUUCUUUUCUUUUUUAAAUUAUCGGUGGCCGUUUAACGAAAUAGGGCAACGCUGAUUAUUCGAAAACAAUGUUUUUAUCGUCAGCACCGGUCAGCACUGCUGAAGUGAAGUAUGGGCUUGCAAAAUAGACUGAACUAAAUUCCGUUUCCCCAUUAAAGAAAUUGAGACUUAAUUGGAGUAUUAGUUGACAAUGUGCUUCACAAAUUUCUGCAGCAGGAAGAUGGCGGUUACUAAACUGCUUGGAUUAUUGCUCACCUUGCAAUUCAUGAUGAAUACUGCGUCAACAGCUGGGAUUAAGAGUAGACAAUUGGAUAUACCCGCUUUCAAAGCAUUCUUUUCCCAGAUCCAGUCGCAUUUAGUGAGCGAUAAGGAUCAAGGAUCAACAGGUACCGGUGCUGUUUCAGUUAAAAUUGAAGGACUCAAUCCACCACCCGCUGUUAGCUCUGAUUGGGGGGCUAAUAGCACGUUUGUAAAGAACGCAAACAUGGUUGCUGGAAAUGAUUCCAAAUUUGGAGUAAGUGUAAUCCGAGAUUCAGAAACAAGCAACAGAAAUUUACAUCGUCAAAACGACGGUAACAUGAAAGGGGUGCCAGUAGUGGAAGGCUCACGACCAGAAUCGGAUUUCAGAUCAAUUUCAAGCAGUUCUCACGGAUCGUUUGUGCUCAACCAUAAACGACCUGCUAGUCCUGUUAUCCAAACUGGCAAUUCUCUUGGCGGAAAAUCAGAGCCUUCGCCCUUUCAUUCCCACCAACCGGCACCUAUUCAACCAUUAAAAAGCCAUCCAACCCCUCAGCACUCUCCCCAAACCACAGCCAAUCAAGCGGCUUUUACUCGUGCGGUGCCAUUCCAAGGACCCACUAACGUUCGUGCUACCCCUACAGUAAAUGCGGCAAGUAAUGACUGGAUUCCGAUUUCUCAACCCAUCGGAUCACCAAUUACCACUUCGUAUUCCCAACUGUCGACCAGUAGACCAACCAGCUCUAACGGCCCAAUCUUUGAAGAUACAGCUGUUAAUUUUGACCCAUUCACGUUUAAUAAUGGAAACUCGAACAAAGAGGAAAAAGAAAGCAAAACCAUUGACUCGACCGCCUCUAAUGACACUAAUGAUGUGGUUGACAAUCACAGUGAUCCCAGCUUCUUAACAGGGUUUAGAUUGAAAAAUCCUGAAAUGCAAGAGCCGCUCUAUGGUCAAGUGGUCUCUCCUCCUCAGAAUUAUGCUCCUGUAAGGAAGCCACCUACUAAGCAUACAUACAAGUCUCCGCAUCCUUUAAACAUAAAUCAAAUUAUCGCCGAAGCAGUGGAUCAUAAACCACCAAUCCAACAACAACAAAAACAACAACAACAACAACCCGGAUACAAGUCCAGCAAACCGUCGAUCAAAGGAAAAUUAAAAUCUAACCUUCAUUCCACUUUUGGAGUACCGGAAAAAAGUCUUAAAGCAAAUAUAUUCAUAAUAUGGGAAACCAAUUCCCAUAUCCACCGAUAAAAACAGAUCCAUCGUUCCGAUCCUUUGGACUUUUCAAGGGCCCUUCCAACGAUCCUCAAUCGCCAGUUCAGAAUAACUUUGAUGACGGUCUUAGGGAUGAUGUCGGUGUGGUCAGCUCGUUUAGCUACUUCCGCAAUCAGGGACCCGAAGCACCUGGGUCCAAAGGCUUUGACCAAGCUUUCAACGUUCAUGCCGGAAGGAACAUCGCGAAACAAUUCAAGCAACACAUGUUUGACCAAACC